UAGGGAAUCUUCCGCAAUGGACGCAAGUCUGACGGAGCAACGCCGCGUGAGUGAAGAAGGAUUUCGGUUCGUAAAACUCUGUUGUUAGAGAAGAACAGCGCAUAGAGUAACUGUUAUGCGUGUGACGGUAUCUAACCAGAAAGCCACGGCUAACUACGUGCCAGCAGCCGCGGUAAUACGUAGGUGGCAAGCGUUGUCCGGAUUUAUUGGGCGUAAAGCGAGCGCAGGCGGUCAAUUAAGUCUGAUGUGAAAGCCCCCGGCUCAACCGGGGAGGGUCAUUGGAAACUGGUUGACUUGAGUGCAGAAGAGGAGAGUGGAAUUCCAUGUGUAGCGGUGAAAUGCGUAGAUAUAUGGAAGAACACCAGUGGCGAAGGCGACUCUCUGGACUGUAACUGACGCUGAGGCUCGAAAGCGUGGGUAGCAAACAGG
rnacentral:rRNA from 1 species